ACUCCAGGUUCUUCUAUUAGGUGAUUUACCUCUUAACUUAACCUGGUUUACUCCUGAACCAACUUCUUAGUAUAGGCCCCAGGCCAGACCUCGCAGGCCUCGCAGUGGCUACCUCCCCAGCUGCCACCAGGUCCUGUCGACAGGUCGGGCCUGCUCUGCUCUGCUCUGCUCCCUCCUUCUCUUGCUCUCUUCUCUCCCUCGUUCUACUUAGGAACUGGAGUGAGGGAAAUGAGUGUUGGGAGAGAGAGGGACAGAGACAGAGAGAGAGAGAGAUGAAGAGAAAAGAAGAACAGAGAGAGAGGGAGAGACUCCUGGGCCUCAGCAGCACUAGUGACAUGUCCUCCUCUACACCUCUGCUGGAGCUGGACGCAGGGGAGCGAGAGUGUUUCACGUGGGUGCUCAUCUUCUCAUAACUGCCAUACCACAGUAUGCACGGUUUCACACUGAAGUCCAGCAGACCUCAUGACCAUAUGACUGCUCUGCAUUGGGGUCUGCAAGUGAGUUUUUACAUUUCAGGCCCACCUCCUCUUGCCAGUCCCUCUCACUCAGUUCUCGGCCUCUGCUCUCUCUCUCUCUCUCUCUCCCUCCCUCUCCCUCUCUCUCUGUUUUGUCUCUCUCCAUCCUUCUCUCUGGGGGUCUCUUUCUUUUCUCUUCCGACAAUGAACACUGAACUCGCUCUGGAGCUGAGCACUGAACCCCUCUCCCCAAGUUGACGACUGAAAUCGUUGAACUGUUUACAUCCCCGAAGCCCCGUUGACCCUAAUUGCCCCAAAACACCGCCCACCUUGCCACACCACACCAAACGUGGAAAAAAGAACAAAAUCACUGAAUAAAAAUAGAAAAUAAUAAACACCAUCAAAAAGGUCCCCUCUCUCUGACGACCCUCCUAAGACCAAGGCCACGUUGCAGCAGCAUGCUACAGUCUGGCCACCUGCAGUGGACACUGGAGGAAUAACAGCAGAGGACAGAAACAAACAACAAACAGGAUUGAAAUCCAAAACCCAGCCUGCCCCCCCUCCUCCCAGCCCCUCUUAAAAGAAGAAAUAAAGAAAGAAAAACAAAAAAAACAAACCCAAAUAAAGAGAAAGCAAGACAGGUUGCUCGGUCUUAAAAUAAAUUAAUGUUUUUGUUUCGUUUUUCUUUGUUGUGAUCAUGUGAACGUGCGGAGCGACUGCCUGAGAGGACACAGGACUGAUGUGUCCAGAUGGACGUCUGAGACUUUGAGAUUUCCUUUUGGAUUGUUUAUUAUGCCCUUCAUUUGAUUGUUAUAGGUUUUUUUGUUUUUUUUGCGCUCCGCUCUUUUCUUUUGUUUAUUUUCCUGCGAGGUAUGGUAUGUUUUCUGCGUAGGGCUGGGGUGGUGGAGGCCACCGCACGUUGUCUUGGAGACCCCACCAUAAGGGGCACCACGGCCUCCACCCCACCCCACCCUCGCCCACUACGCAGCUCUCGCCAGCAUUCCUCUGACAACUCCAUCACCCCCCACCUUGACCAACCAUGCCCUCAAGCCCCCUCUAAAACGGGCAUCUCCCCCAGCAUGUUUAAUUCUCACAUCUCUCCAUUGGCCAGCCUCUCUCCUCCCCAUAGCCCCAUGGAUGGCCCAACCUCUCUCCCUCAGCCCCCUCCCCAGCCCCACAGCCCCAUAUCCCCAUGGCCCCGCUCCCCUCCCCAGCCCCAUGGACGGCCCAACCUCUCUCCUCCCCAUGGAUGGCCUAGCUUCUCCAGUCCUGAACUCUGUCCAGAGGAGGUGGGGGAAACUUUGCCUCGCGGCGGUUGCACUUGCAUUGGUAGCGUUGACCCUCUUUUUUUGUUUUGAGCUUGUUUGUUUGUUUGUUGGUUUGUUUGCUUUCUCUUUGUUUGUAUUUUUUGUUCAGGGAACUAUUACCAUUGUACAGGACUCCAGAGAUUGCGCUUGGUCACGGUGGUGGAAGUUACAAAAGGACUGAAUUCAGCAGGCAGCGAAGGCAUGCAGGUGAUGAUGAUGAUGGUGAUGGCAGUGACGUUGACAAAGGAGAAGGACAACAUGGGUGUUAUGAGAGGACGGCUAUCGGCGAUGCCCUCAGUGUAUUCACCCGGUGAACAUGGGGGAGCCUGUAGCUAGUGAGAGACUGGCGGCUGGUGGAAAAAAACGUAAUGUGUAAAACUGUAAAACUGUGCUCCCCCACGCCUCCGUGUGGCCGGCCAGGACACUGCUCACUGCGACUCUAGGUGCCAACCUAUCUCUCUUUCGUCACUCUUCCACCAUCUGCGACUGCGCCACCUCUCCACAUCAUGGAUCUCCACCACCAUUUGUCCAGUUGCCUAUUUUUUUCGCAAUAAAUUAAUGAGUAUAAAGUAGAUGGUGAAAAAAAAUAUUUUUAAAAAGCGAUAUUUAAUUCAUUUAAAAGAAUCGGAAAAAAAAAUAAACAAAGAAUUUCUCUGGUGUUGUGA